rnacentral:rRNA from 1 species
AGAGUUAGCAACCUCUUAUUCAUGUGGUACCGUCACGAAUUCUUCCCACAUAAAGGCAGUUUACACCCCGAAGGGCGUCUUCCUGCGCGCGGCGUCGCUCCGUCAGACUUUCGUCCAUUGCGGAAUAUUCUUG